AUGUUUUGUAUAGUUUCCCUGUGUUAAAGAUAAGAACUAUGGGUCACAAGGAAAUAUGUGUUGUAUAUUUCCCUGUCGACUCAUUAGUAAAUAAGACGUAGUAUUUAAGGAGGUGUAGAAACGGAGAUCAGGAGUUCCUCGAGUACUACCAGAGCGUAAGCACUCUGGCCCUCGUGAAUGAAUAAAAAAGUAUAAAACAAAUAUCGUUUCAUUUGUUAACCCAUUUGUCAACUGUUAUUUGUUAACUGGCGCCCAACAAAGGAUUUGAACCUAUCCUAUUCCUUGAUUAAUUUUUUCACGGCAAAGUUAUAGCCGGUAUAAAAGAGAGUGUAUAGUACAUGUAAUAAUCGCGUCGAGUUGCACGGUGUUAUAGCAGUGAUAAGUGGCAUUCUGGCGAGCAAUUAGAGACAGUUAAGUGUUAGUUAUAGUUACCUGUGAAAAUACGUCGAUGUUAAUCCUCAUAUCUCUACGUGUGAGUCAGGAAACCAAGCAUUAAGAAAUUGCAAAGAAGCCUUAAGUUUAUCUAUCUGGCAGAAGUAUCCCUUCGACCACUGUUUAGUGCAGAUUUUCAGUAACGCCACAGCCACGUGCAACACCACGACAGCCCACCACAUUUCACCAAUUGUACAAAUC